CCUACGGGAGGCAGCAGUAGGGAAUAUUGCUCAAUGGGGGAAACCCUGAAGCAGCAACGCCGCGUGGAGGAUGACGGUUUUCGGAGUGUAAACUCCUUUUGUUAGAGAAGAUAAUGACGGUAUCUAACGAAUAAGCACCGGCUAACUCCGUGCCAGCAGCCGCGGUAAUACGGCGGGUGCAAGCGUUAAUCGGAAUGACGGGGGGUAAAGAGCGCGUAGGCGGGUUAGUAAGUCAGAUGUGAAAUCCUAUGGCUUAACCAUAGAAGUGCAUUUGAAACUGUUAGUCUAGAGUAUGGGAGAGGUAGGUGGAAUGCUUGGUGUAGAGGUGAAAUGCGUAGAGAUCAAGAGGAAUACUGAUUGCGAAGGCGGCCUGCUGGAGCAUAACUGACGCUGAUGCACGAAAGCGUGGGGAGCAAACAGGAUUAGAUACCCGAGUAGUC
rnacentral:rRNA from 1 species